rnacentral:tRNA from 1 species
ACGGGUUUAAGAUAAUGGUAGUCGGACAGUCUCCAAAACUGUUAGCGGAGGUUCGAGUCCUUCAAUCCGUG